GGGCGCGUAGCUCAAUUGGCAGAGCAGCGGCCUUUUAAGCCGUUGGCUGAGAGUUCGAGUCUCUCCGCGCUCA
rnacentral:tRNA from 1 species